UGGGGAAUUUUGCGCAAUGGGCGAAAGCCUGACGCAGCGACGCCGCGUGGGUGACGAAGGCCCUCGGGUUGUAAAGCCCUGUGGGGAGGGAAGAAUAAGGGGCGGCUAACAUCCGCACCGAUGACGGUACCUCCUUAGCAAGCACCGGCUAACUCUGUGCCAGCAGCCGCGGUAAGACAGAGGGUGCAAACGUUGUUCGGAAUUACUGGGCGUAAAGCGCGUGUAGGCGGCUACGCAAGUCGGAUGCGAAAGCCCUUGGCUCAACUGAGGAAGUGCAUUCGAAACGGCGUAGCUCGAGUCCCGGAGAGGAUGGUGGAAUUCUCGGUGUAGAGGUGAAAUUCGUAGAUAUCGAGAGGAACACCAGUGGCGAAGGCGGCCAUCUGGACGGUGACUGACGCUGAGACGCGAAAGCAUGGGGAGCAAACA
rnacentral:rRNA from 1 species